rnacentral:rRNA from 1 species
CAGCAGCCGCGGGAAUACGGAGGGUGCAAGCGUUAAUCGGAAUUACUGGGCGUAAAGCGCACGCAGGCGGUCUGUCAAGUCAGAUGUGAAAUCCCCGGGCUUAACCUGGGAACUGCAUUUGAAACUGUCAGGCUGGAGUCUUGUAGAGGGGGGUAGAAUUCCAGGUGUAGCGGUGAAAUGCGUAGAGAUCUGGAGGAAUACCGGUGGCGAAGGCGGCCCCCUGGACAAAGACUGACGCUCAGGUGCGAAAGCGUGGGGAGCAAACAGGAUUAGAGACCCGAGUAGUCCCUGUCUCUUAUAC